UGCCAGACUCCUACGGGAGGCAGCAGUGGGGGAUAUUGCACAAUGGGGGAAACCCUGAUGCAGCGACGCCGCGUGUGGGGAGACGGUCUUCUGGAUUGUAAACCACUGUCCCCAGGGACGAAAAUGACGGUACCUGGGGAGGAAGCUCCGGCUAACUACGUGCCAGCAGCCGCGGUAAUACGUAGGGAGCAAGCGUUGUCCGGAAUUACUGGGUGUAAAGGGAGCGUAGGCGGGGAUGCAAGUUGGGUGUCAAAACUAUCGGCUCAACCAAUAGUCGCACUCAAAACUGCAGCUCUUGAGUGAAGUAGAGGCAGGCGGAAUUCCUAGUGUAGCGGUGAAAUGCGUAGAUAUUAGGAGGAACACCAGUGGCGAAGGCGGCCUGCUGGGCUUUUACUGACGCUGAGGCUCGAAAGUGUGGGGAGCAAACAGGAUUAGAUACCCGUGUAC
rnacentral:rRNA from 1 species